AUUGAACGCUGGCGGCAUGCUUUACACAUGCAAGUCGAACGGUAACAGGCCUUCGGGUGCUGACGAGUGGCGCACGGGUGAGUAAUGCAUCGGAACGUACCCAGAGGUGGGGGAUAACGCAGCGAAAGCUGUGCUAAUACCUCAUGUGAUCUGAGGAUGAAAGCGGGGGACCGAGCAGCAAUGUUUGGCCUCGCGCCUUUGGAGCGGCCGAUGUCGGAUUAGCUAGUUGGUGGGGUAAAGGCCUACCAAGGCGACGAUCCGUAGCUGGUCUGAGAGGACGACCAGCCACACUGGGACUGAGACACGGCCCAGACUCCUACGGGAGGCAGCAGUGGGGAAUUUUGGACAAUGGGCGCAAGCCUGAUCCAGCAAUGCCGCGUGCGGGAAGAAGGCCUUCGGGUUGUAAAACGCUUUUGGCAGGAACGAAACGGUGUCCGCUAAUACCGGGCGCUAAUGACGGUACCUGCAGAAUAAGCACCGGCUAACUACGUG
rnacentral:rRNA from 1 species